rnacentral:lncRNA from 1 species
UGAACUCAAGGGUUGGCAACUUAGCAUCUACUCUAUAUAUAGUGGAAGUUUGCUUUUUAGACAGGAGUUGACAUCAAACAGUUAAUUCACUAUUAAUUAGUGUAUAAACUUGUGCUACUAUUUUUGCAUAAAACAUGCAUUUGCAACAAAUUACGUGCAAUGAUCUGGGAACACUGCAUACUCAUCGCCAUCGAGAUACGACAAUCUUUGAUGUCUGAAGAUGAAGAGAUACCCCCACUUUGGUUCCGAUGAUCAAGCCCUAUAGAGUUCAACAUGUUCUGUUUGAUUGUUUUUAUAAAUGGAUCUGCUUUUCCUCCAGCAGACACUAGAUCCACUUCCAACGUUCAAUCCAACCACCUGCCCUAUUGGAGUUCGCAAUUUGAAAUUUUAUAUCUUGGACCUGAAAAGAUGUAGGAGACAUAGAAAAGGUAUCUCAUUUAUAGGCAGAUAUAAUAUUCAUGUGAUUCCCAA